rnacentral:lncRNA from 1 species
AUAUACACAAAGCUUCUUUAAAUUGCGAGAUUUGUUUAAAGCCGCUGUGAGCAGUAUUUCAGUUAUAUCAUGGCAUGUCAGCGUGACAGUCAUUGUGAGUGUGUUUGACACAUAGAAUGUCUUCAUUUUGAAUGUUUACAUUUCAAUAACAUUGAGAGGGCAUCAUGAGUGAUUGUUUGUGAUGUAAUGAGCGAAUGUUUGCAUUCAAUUAUCAAUUGUCAACUUCCGUUUGAUGUAUUCACUAACUCCAACGCUUGUCGCCCUUAAUCUCUCUGCUUUAUUUAUCAUUUGUACUCUCACUUGUCUUACCAUUCAUAAAUGUUGACAAUGCACGUUUAAGAAAUAUUUCCAUCGUAUAUCAUGUUUGCCUUACAAAACCGUGUUUUCUGUUCCUAUAGAAUAUUUACAUGUGAAUAGUUAAAUCAAGUAAAAGACUUUUGUUGUUGAACUGUUACCAAUAAUCAGUCAAAUUGAUAAUAUUGACUUUUAAAUAUUAAUACUAUUCAACUUUAUUUUCUUCUCGCCACAACCAUCUUGUCCUUUAGAAUGUACAGGUGUUGCUGCAAAGGUAAUAUGAUUCCAUACACUUAUAGUACACCCUUUAUAAGCAUAGUUUGUUGGUAUUAUUCCGACCGUUUACAUUAUUAAAAUAAUCUGACUCGUAUAUUCAAUACUGUGUCUACAAUCAGAUAUCAAAUAAUGUGAACAUUGUUGUACAGUGGAACCCUUAAAUACCAGGCGAUGAAAUAUUCGUGUUAACAAAACCUUUGGUUGGGAGUUAUGUCGGGUCGACACGUCCACUUGUCUGCUGGCCCGAGACUGGUGAUAGAUUGUAAGGACUGGAAUGAAUGGGUUGUAAAAUAACUCGUGUCAAGAAGACGGGAUUUACAGAUUGACGGGGUCCGGACUGAUGGGUGUCCGGUUUGAUAUGGGUCAGGUCUCUCGGGUACAUGUCUGAAGUGACAUGGCAGUAAGUUGUUUUUAAGACAUUAUGGGCUAUGUUCACGUGCCCUGUAGAACGAUAAGGAUUCACAGAUUUUAUACAUUAAAUUCAGUUAUCUGUUGAUCAAAGUCCCCUUCUUUCGGAGUAAUUGCUAUAUGUUUAACAUUGUGUUGAUAUUUUAGUUUCUCCAAGACAUAUGAGCUUGAAAAUCGAAAUUUGUGAAAUGGCUUAACCUCUGGACACUGAUGUACACUUGCUGUGGACUUGACGAUGUGAAACCGUGUCUCAAGGAAUGUGAUUCCCUUCCAUGCUCAUUGUUUGUAGUUUUGAUCCAAGCGUACAAUAUUGAUGCAUUUCUAUGUUAUGUUUGUUUAAUUGCUUGCUUUUUUGUUGUUUAACGCCGCACGCGACCAGACAAUCCAGUGAUUGCCACCAUGAACAUCUGUCUACGCAAUUUGAAUACGAGGGUAUUCAUCAACCCACUCAGCGAGCCUUACUACCGUUGCCUUUUACGACCAGCAUUGCUCGCUGAAGACCAUUCUAUCCCGGGUCUACACUUGGGAUUCUCCAAGACACAAGAGCUUGAAGAUCGAAAGUUGUGAAAUGGCCUAAACCUCUGGACAAUGAUGUACACUUGCUUUGGACACGGAUUGUGACCGUUUCCCCCAUUCAUGUUGAUUAUGUGUUGUUUCAUUCUAACUGUAUAACAAUGAAGCAUGUCUUUGUGUA